UUCUAGGGUUAACACAAAAUGAGUUAUCGGUAAAUAUUGAAUCUCUUGAAAAUUGCAAUUACCUGAUUUCUUUGUGUAAUUGUCAUACUGCUGACCACUUCCUGUGUUCGAAUCAGUUGAUAGAUUCAAGCCCGUAGUAUGCUGUUGAGUUAUAGUCGAUAGGUUCAAGCCUGUAGUAUGCUGUUGAGUUAUAGUUGAUAGGUUCAAGCCCGUAGUAUGCUGUUGAGUUAUAGUUGAUAGGUUCAAGCCUGUAGUAUGCUGUUGAGUUAUAUUUGUGGGCUGUAAGACAAAAAGAUAUUUCAACACACCACAAUGGAAACUUUUAAAAGUAGCCACAGUUGAGCACUGAAGAUAGUAAUAUACUGUAGAUAUAGAGAGUAAAUAGAGCUAACACAAAUGCUGUGCACAUCUUGCCCUACCAUGUCAUGUUUCACCAAAAUAUUGGACCUUAAAAUUUACACUAAAACCUGGAUGUGCUUAAAAACUAGAACUUGGAUGUACUUAACUUAAA
ensembl:lncRNA